rnacentral:rRNA from 1 species
GACGAACGCUGGCGGCGUGCUUAACACAUGCAAGUCGAACGAAGUGGCGAACGGGCGAGUAAUACGUGGGUAACCUGCCCUCCUUUUUGGGAUAAGCCUUGGAAACGGGGUCUAAUACCGAAUAAAGGGGGCUGGUCUCGCGGCCUAUCAGCUUGUUGGUGGGGUGAGGGCCUACCAAGGCGGUGACGGGUAGCCGGCCUGGGAGGGUGACCGGCGACAAUGGGACUGGGAUGCGGCCCAGACUGCUACGAGAGGCAGCAGUGGGGGUGAUUGCAGAAUGGGCGAAAGCCUGAUGCAGCGACGCAGAGUGGGGGAUGGAGGGUUUCGGGUUGUAAACCUAUUACGCUAUAAAGGGGGUAGGUGGUGAAAAAGCGCCGGCUAACUACGUGCCAGCAGCCGCGGUAAUUC